AUUGAACGCUGGCGGCAGGCCUAACACAUGCAAGUCGAACGAGUGGCGGACGGGUGAGUAAUGUCUGGGAAACUGCCCGAUGGAGGGGGAUAACUACUGGAAACGGUAGCUAAUACCGCAUACCAUCGGAUGUGCCCAGAUGGGAGUAGAUAGUAGGUGGGGUAACGGCUCACCUAGGCGAAGAUCCCUAGCUGGUCUGAGAGGAUGACCAGCAACACUGGAACGGAAACACGGUCCAGACUCAUACGCGAGGCAGCAGUGGGGAAUAUUGCACAAUGGGCGCAAGGCUGAUGCAGCCAAGCCGCGUGGAUGAAGAAGGCCUUCGGGUUGUAAAGUACUUUCAGCGAGGAGGCGUUACUCGAAGAAGAAGCACCGGCUAACUCCGUGCCAGCAGCCGCGGUAAUAC
rnacentral:rRNA from 1 species